UAAAUCAUACUAAUAAUGGAAUUGUCACAGGGAUGACAAUUUUUUGGUCAUAUUUUGAUUUUGUAGCUUUUUUUAGUAAAUAAAAAACAUAAUUCAGUAGAUAAGAAGGGUAAAAAAGUGAAAGAAAAACUUUAUUGUUGUACUGUAUUUUUGUUUGUAAUUAAACAAAAUAUAGAAAUAUGAUUUUAAUAAUAUGAACAAAUCUCAAGAGACAGUAUUUAGAAAAUUUUAAUGAAAUAGUUAAUAGAGGGGUAAAUUUGGAUGCCAUUAAUAUAAUUAUUAAUUUUUUUGUCAAUUUUAUGAUUAAGCAUUUAAACAGUUUAUCUUACCAAGUGUUACUGGUCUGCCGGCCUCCCUAGCUACAAGCAAAUUUAAAAUUGUUCCAAAACGCGGAAGUAACAUUUUUUUAGAUUUUUUUAAUCAGCGCUAUGCAUUUACAUUUCCUCUCUCCGCCUAGUUAUUUCCGGUUAUUUCAAUGGCACACACGAUUGUGUUACAUAAACGAGCCAAUGAAAUUACAUUUUUGGGGAAAAUUAUUAAAAUUAAAUUGUUACAUAAUACAGAAAAUAGAAAAAAUUGAAUGAUGUAAUUUUCUUACGAUUUUAAAGGUUGAUCUGCAUAUUAAUCUUUUUGAAACACAGCUUGGUUUUAAUUAUAUUUAAAUUUUUGCCGUUGAGUUAAUUUUACAACAAGGAAAACUAGACUGAAUUCAACUUGGAUUUCCGUUUCUGAUAACUUGUGAAAAAAAUUCAAAACCAGACGCUAUCGCUUGCCUUUGUAUCCUUUAUAAGUUAUUAUUCUUAUUGUUAAAGAUCAAUUUUUUUAAAUAGUUUUUGUGUCUGCAAACAAGUAUAAAUUUAUAGAGGUUCCAGAAUUUUUUUUGUAGCAACAGCAGGACCGGAGCUUCGUCACAAUGAGUCAAAUCACUGAUGUAUGGAGGGGAAAUUUCGACGGCUCAUCAACAGCAGACACCUUGGCGUCGGUGAAUUUGAUCGUGGUAGUCUUCAAUGUGAUUGCAUGUUUGUCUGUGGCAGUGAUAAUUGCUGUACAAGUACUUCAGCAAAACGAUAAUGAUGUCAAUCGCGAAGAGCAACAAGUGGUUUCGUUGACGCAAUAAAAUUAAAUGUAGAUAAAUCAGAUAAAGUUUUGCCUGAUGUAGCCAAUUCAAAGGGACAAAGUCUGGAAGAAGUUGAUCAAAUGGCGUUUCAAAUUGGCACUAGUCGGAUUAUCAAAAAUAAAUACUUAUUUAAUAAAAAAAAAAAAAAAAAAAAAAAAAA